rnacentral:snRNA from 1 species
UUCCAUCGCCAUCUUUGUGAUUCG